rnacentral:rRNA from 1 species
AUGCAGGUGGAGUCACUUGACCUAUCACACAAUGAUUUGUCCGGUGAAAUCCCUUCAAGCUUAUCGACUCUCACAUCAUUGAGUCGCCUGAACCUGUCCUACUACAACCCGAGGGGGAAAAUACCUACUGGAAAUCAACUGCAAACACUCGAAGACCCGGCCUAUAUUUAUAUUGGCAACCCCGGCCUCUACGGUCCUCCUCUCUCUGUAAAUUGUUCGUCACAGCCCAAGCCAAUUCCAGGAGAAAACCACGGAGAUGCAAGCGAAGACUUGGUUUCGUUUUUCCUUGCCAUGGGCCCUGGAUAUGUGAUGGGUCUCUGGGUGGUCUUCUGUACCUUCUUGUUCAAGAGAAGAUGGAGAGUUUCGUGGUACUCGCUCUGUGACAGACUGUAUGAUUGGGUGUAUGUGCAAGUGGCUGUUACCUGGAGUUCCUUGAGAGGUAAAAUCAAUGGGUGA